rnacentral:rRNA from 1 species
AGUGAACGCUGGCGGUAGGCCUAACACAUGCAAGUCGAACGGCAGCACAGUAAGAGCUUGCUCUUACGGGUGGCGAGUGGCGGACGGGUGAGGAAUACAUCGGAAUCUACUUUUUCGGGGGGGAUAACGUAGGGAAACUUAUGCUAAUACAGCAUACGACCUACGGGUGAAAGCAGGGGAUCUUCGGACCUUGCGCGAUUGAAUGAGCCGAUGCCGGAUUAGCUAGUUGGCGGGGUAAGGGCCCACCAAGGCAACGAUCCGUAGCUGGUCUGAGAGGAUGAUCGGCCACACUGGAACUGAGACACGGUCCAGACUCCUACGGGAGGCAGCAGUGGGGAAUAUUGGACAAUGGGCGAAAGCCUGAUCCAGCAAUACCGCGUGGGUGAAGAAGGCCUUCGGGUUGUAAAGCCCUUUUGUUGGGAAAGAAAAGCAGCAGAUUAAUACCCCGCUGUUCUGACGGUACCCAAAGAAUAAGCACCGGCUAACUUCGUG